GGGUUUUGGAGGGUGGCUAGUUUCUUUCCUAGUUGACGCUCCAUUUCUAAGAGCACACAAGUUUAGAAUUAUCACUCUCCUCAGCUGGUCUCCCUCCAGUGGUUGCUGUGGAUAGCCCACCCUUAUCACUGUGUUUAGUCUUCCAGGAUGCUUUAGUCUGACAUCUACAAGCACUGACAGUUUUUGUUUGGUUAAAAUUUAGCUGCUUGCCAGGCAUGGUAGUGCAGACUUUUAAUCCCAACACUCAAGAGGCAGAGGCAGGUGGAUCUCUGUGAGUUUCAGGCCAGCCCGAUCUACAAAGCAACUUCCAGGACAUCCAGGGCUACACAGAGAAAUGUUAUCUCAAAAGAACAAAAAAAACUAUUUAUCUGUCAUUCUUUCUCUACCCUUUGCAUUUUAUAUUUUUUUACAUGUUCCUUUCAAACACACAUAGGUAGAUUUUAUUCCAACUCCAGAUAGAGAUAGAUAGAUAGAUGAUAGAUAGAUAGAUAGAUAGAUAGAUAGAUAGAUAGAUAGAUAGAUGUCUAAAUAUGCUUAUAUAUUAUACAUAUUUAUAUAAUACAUUAUAUUAUAUAAUAUAUAUGAUACAAUGACGCGACUACUCAUUUCCAGAAAAUUUUCUGUUUUCCUCAUUGAAAGGUCUUUGUGAGUAUGUUCUUCACAUACCCCUUGUAGCAUGUUUUGUUUAAAAAAAAAAGAGGCCUUCCCCUCAGCCUGUGUCACUCCACCACACCUGAUGAGCUCUGGAUGGCAUCUUGGCUCUCCCAGACACCCCCAAAAUGUCUUCAGUCUCUACCCUCAUGCCGGUCCCGCUAGCCUAUUGUGCCAGCAGUGAACUGGGCAAAAUGUGAUUUUCCUGAAGACAGACGUAGAUUUUAAACCUGAGUCUCCAAAAGAGAGACUGCCUUAGAUCCUGAAGAGGUGGCUACACUUAUCCUCCUUUGCUACCUGUCACCUACUAUUGGGAAGCUACUCCAGCCUUCACCCAAGACCAAGGCAAGGUUGCCCUGGUGGUGUUUGCCAGGAGCCUCCUUUCUUUCUUUGUGAUGCUGACCUGGAGUCAUCAGACAUACCAGUCAGGUGUUCUACCACUGAGCUGUAUCCCACCCUUUUGGGGUCCUUCCUUCCUUUUCUUUCCUUCUUUCUUUCCUCCCUUCUUUCUUCCUUUCUCCCUUUCUCCCUUUCUCUCUUUCUCUCUUUCUCCCUUUCUUUCUUUCUUUCUUUCUUUCUUUCUUUCUUUCUUCCUUUCUUUCUUUCCUCUUCUUCCUCCUCCUCCUUCCUAGACUAAAUGUCUUCCUUCAGUAACACUUAUUGAGCACAUACUAAAACAUAUUUUAUAGUUUAUCAUUUUCUCUUGACAACUCUAGCAUAAGUAUAUAAGCAUCAUUUCCCUUAAAAAAAUUAAAGGAUCUCUGAAAACUUGAGGUUCUAACAAAGCUAGGCUGUGGACUAAUGGGAAAGGAAGUGAACAAGAACCCCCAAGCUAUAAUGAAAUAAAUUUUAAAAGGGGUUGCUGGAGAGAUGGCUCUGUAGUUGAGAGAAUUGGUUGCCCUUGCAGAGGGCCCAGAUUUGAUUCCCAGCACCCACAAGGUAGCUCACAAUCACCUGUAACUUCAAUGCCCUUACAUACAUGCAAGCAAAACAUGCACACAAAAUAAUAAU
rnacentral:lncRNA from 1 species